AAGCUUGCGACUUUCCUGUCGUAUGUCGAUUGGAGCUUGCUCCUCUGUUCUUCAUAUUUCCAGAAGGAAGAUGAUUCUCGUGUGUCCUGCCUCUUCCUUAUAUUUGAAGCUGAAUCUUCUUGAGUGUUUGCUAUUUUGAGGGGACUGGAGUCGAGAGCUUAAACCUCCGCUUGUCUCAGGUAGUAUCAUCUAUGUGCCUCCCAUGCUCGCUUCUCUUGCUCGGUUUAGAACUUCCGGAAAGUCGAUUUGUCAUCUUCUGGAGUUCUUGCAGCGUCUGGAGUGGACUCCAUUGGUUGUUGAUGGCCGGACCGGGACCUAGUCAACCCCGCUUCGCCUGUCCACCUCUUGGGGUCGCCUUCGGGACAAACC
rnacentral:lncRNA from 1 species